rnacentral:rRNA from 2 species
UACGGAGGGUGCAAGCGUUGUCCGGAUUUAUUGGGUUUAAAGGGUGCGUAGGUGGCCCUGCAAGUCCGUGGUGAAAGCCUGCCGCUUAACGGCAGAACUGCCAUGGAUACUACAGGGCUUGAGUCCAGACGAGGUUGGCGGAAUGGAUGGUGUAGCGGUGAAAUGCAUAGAUACCAUCCAGAACCCCGAUUGCGUAGGCAGCUGACUAGGCUGGUACUGACACUGAGGCACGAAAGCGUGGGGAGCGAACAGG